rnacentral:rRNA from 1 species
AGGGUUCGAUUCUGGCUCAGGACGAACGCUGGCGGCGUGCUUAACACAUGCAAGUCGAACGGGAGUAUUGAAGAAGCUUGCUUUAGAGAUACUUUAGUGGCGGACGGGUGAGUAACGCGUGAGGAGCUGUCCUAUGCAGGGGGACAACAGCUGGAAACGGCUGCUAAUACCCCAUAAGCCGAGAGGUAAAAGGAUCAAUCCGGCAGAGGAGGUACUCGCGUCCUAUCAGCUAGUAGGUGAGGUAACGGCUCACCUAGGCGAAGACGGGUAGCCGGCCUGAGAGGGCGAACGGCCACACUGGAACUGAGAUACGGUCCAGACUCCUACGGGAGGCAGCAGUGGGGAAUAUUGGGCAAAUGGGGGAAACCCUGACCCAGCGACGCCGCGUGGGUGAAGAAAUCCUUCGGGAUGUAAAGCCCCGUUGUAUGGGAAGAGCGGAAGACGGUACCAUACGAGGAAGCCCCGGCAAACUACGUGCCAGCCGCGGC